UGAAAGUGCAAGAUAAAGCAUAAAAUGAGUAAUCUGCAAUUGCCAGCUUCUUUUCCCAUGAAAAAAUGAGCUAUUGUAGUCAACCCAGAAAUAAAGGACCAAACCCCACUUGUCUUCAGAGCUGCAGAGAGAGCCAAGGCAAGGAGAAUGUUUUUCACUUUCACCUCUCAAGGAAUUCUUGCAAUGUCUAGCCACUUUGUGAACUGACAGACAUGGGUCACUUCACAGGAAGCACUAGCCUGAGAGAAAACACUGCAUUGCUCAGCCUUCAAUUGCUUUGCCUGUUGCAUGUAGAUGACUCAUGCAUUUGACUCUGCUGUGUCCAUUCCCCCUCCCCAGCAUACAUUUAAUUCUGUGCAGACACACCAGUACAUACAAACCAAAGGGUUAUAUUUCUAAGGACGAUGUAAAGUAGAUUGUUUGAUAGGACUUCCAUACAUUUACCAAUAAACAUCAAAAAGGAGAGAAUAAUUCAUUUACACUACUUCUGUUGCUUUUCAGAUGACAUGCUGAAGGUCACAUCUGUAAUUCCUGCAUCCACAAGAAUAACCACACUAGCAGCUGUUUACACCAUAUUUUGCUGGCCUGCUUGAGCCAAACCCUCACUCCGGAAAUGUUAGCCUGCCUCGGUCUUCAGAAUGAUAAAGAAAGGAUCUUUACAGCCUGCGAGAAUCUGUAUGACUUAGUAUACAUCUAUGUCUCUUCAACCAAUACAAUAUUCAAAAUCCUCAAUCAUUAUCUUGGCACUGAAUUCCCCAUCUUGGUAGUAAAAGAAAACUUUAGCAUUAAAGAGAAUCUGCAGCUCCUGAUCAAUGCUUUGAAAGAGAUGACAGCCACAAUGGGAUAUGAUAAUGAUGGAUGCAUAGACCCAUCAUUUUAUUCUAGAAUGACUCAGUCCAUGGACACCUUGCAGGACAACGUGGCACCAAAACAAGGUCAUUAUAAAAAUUAUAGGUUUGCUGUAAGAAGCAUGGUGUAUAUAUAUGUUGGAAUGAGUUUACAAACAGAUAAUUUCCCUGACACAGUAGAGGCUGCUGUUCAUCAGUUACUGAGUUCACCUGCUUUAUCCCUCCAUGUAUCAGAACUUCUCUUGGGCUAUGCUGAUAUUGCUAAGAUGCUGCAACAAAAUGAGCCACCAACCACCACAGCAAGCGGAUCCGCCUCAGGUGAAACAUCACAACAGCUCAGACUUUGUUCUCUACCCUCCUCCUCUUUAAUUUUCAUACGGACCCUCCUUCGAGGACAGAGAACCAUAAAGAAAAGCCUGAAAACAGCAGCUUACUACUUAGAGGAGGCUUGCAGAGUGCUGAGGCCACCUUGUGAAGCAUUCCAUAGCUUGGCUAGAAGGCUGGAUUCCUGCAUCCCAGAAAUAGUAAAACACAUGUACUGAUGUGUUAGAAGUUCAUCUUGAUUCCUUUAACCCUCGAUGGCAAGUUUGAGGAAAGUUUGAGCAUGUCCGUACAGCACAUAUCUGCAGCAGCUGCUUCUGGUUCUCUCUGUAGUUCUUUUUGAAAUCUGUACUCCGUAUCUCCGAGCAUCUAGGCAUCAAAAUAAAGGUCUGUUGGUAAAUUA